UACGGAAGGGGCAAGCGUUGUUCGGAAUCAUUGGGCGUAAAGGGCGCGUAGGUGGUUCUGUAUGUCUACCGUGAAAGCAUACGGCUCAACUGUAUUUUGUCGGUAGAAACUGCAGGACUUGAGGCUGGGAGGGGCUGGUGGAAUUCCCUGUGUAGCGGUGAAAUGCGUAGAGAUGGGGAGAACACUCGUGGCGAAGGCGGCCAGCUAGACCAGUUCUGACACUGAGGCGCGACAGCGUGGGGAGCAAACAGG
rnacentral:rRNA from 1 species